GUCCACGCCGUAAACGGUGAGUGCUCGUCGUCGUGGGUAUUGACCCCUGCGGUGACCAAGUUAACGCAUGAAGCACUCCGCCUGGGAAGUACGGUCGCAAGACUAAAACUCAAAGAAAUUGACGGGGGCCCGCACAAGCGGUGGAGCAUGUUGUUUAAUUCGAAGCAACGCGCAGAACCUUACCUGGAUUUGACAUCUCGGGAAUCUUCCUGAAAAGGAAGAGUGCCUUCGGGAACCCGAUGA
rnacentral:rRNA from 1 species